UUGCCGGUGGCGCAGUCGGUGCGGCGAUAGGUUUUCUUUUGGGUGGCCCGGCUGGUGCGGCUGUAGGCGGAGCAAGCGGCCCUGCUGCCGCUGCGGCAAUCC
rnacentral:tRNA from 1 species